rnacentral:rRNA from 2 species
GUCCUUUUGAAUUUAAUUUAAGGUCUGACCUGCCCACUGAAUUUUUGAAGGGCCGCAGUAUUUUGACUGUGCAAAGGUAGCAUAAUCAUUAGUUUUUUAAUUAAAAGCUUGUAUGAAGGGUUGGACGAGGUAAAUUCUGUCUCUAUUUAAUUUAAUUUAGAAUUUAAUUUUUAAGUCAAAAAGCUUAAAUAUUAUUAAAAGACGAGAAGACCCUAUAGAUCUUUAUAUUAAAUUAAUUAAUUUUAUUUAAGAAUUAUUUAUUUUUUAAUAAGUUUAAUAUUUUAUUGGGGUAAUAAAAAGAUUAAUUUAAUUCUUUUUUUAUUUUUACAUUAAUAUAUGAUUAUAUGAUCCAAUUUUAUUGAUUAAAAGAUUAAGUUACCUUAGGGAUAACAGCGUAAUUUUUUUAAAGAGUUCAUAUCGAUAAAAAAGUUUGCGACCUCGAUGUUGGAUUAAAAAUUAUCUUAGGUGCAGAAGUUUAAGAUUUUGGUCUGUUCGACCAUUAAAUUUUU